rfam:Heterobasidion irregulare TC 32-1 unplaced genomic scaffold scaffold_13, whole genome shotgun sequence.
GCAUUAAUGGGGUAGUGGUAACCUGGGUCGUUGCCAUCGACCCGCCGAGGGUUCGAUUCCCUCUUAAUGCA